UUUUCUUGUUUUAAACUUCGCACCUUCCAAUUUAAUUACAGUGAACAUGUUUUGGCUCUGGUCCCUCCUUGGAUACUAUAUAACUCAAAUCAGGAAAAUUGCCUCAGUGGAGAGUGGAUAUCGUAGGGGUGCAUAGUUAAAAAUGGGUAUGAAGAAGGGUGUUAAAUAAAAUAAAAGAAAAUAGGGUUAGGUGUGGUUGAAAAGUGUGAAAAAAAUAAAAAGGAAAGAAAAAAAAGAAGGGAGAACAAAAAAAACAAGGUGAAGUAGUGGAUCCAAUAAUGUUAGUGUAGUGUCAAGGAGGGUGAGUCACUAUUUCCCAUAUGUACCACACCUGCCCCCAAGUCUACAUUACAAGAGAAUCCCUAUAGAGAUCCAAGUCUAACUGGCUGAAAGACAAAGGUAUUAAAAAUAGGACAUGCAUAUGGUAUUAUAUGCAUAUUGUUUGAACUUCUUAUGAGAGAGUGAGUGUUUUAUGUAUUCCCUGCAUUGAAAUUCAUGAUGAUACUAUGACAGAUGGGACUUCCUUGCUAUGAGGUUACAUGAGUUGUAUUGUUAAGUGCUCAUUUGUUCGGGUAAUGUCAAUUGCAUGUCUGCUUGGUUGUUUGUUGCUAACAAUGCUAUCACUUGAUUUCUUUGUGACAUAUAGUUGUGCUACAUGAAUCAACAUAGUAGUUUAGAAUAUUUUGACUAAGAAAGGGUAGUAAAAUUUUAGCUAAAAAGAUUUAACUAUCGUAGGUGCCUUAGGUUUCUUAUAGUUAAGCAUCGUAUUUGUUUGUUAUGUGUUAGUUUCUUGAUGUCUCCCAAAUUAUACCUCAAAAAACAUAUAACGUGGUCAAUGUCAAAUAUAGAACCGAACAAACAUUAAGGUUGAAACCAUAGGGAAUAGGACGAAUAUUUCUCACAAACUUGCUGAAGUAGCCUAAAAAAUGAAAAAAAAAAGUAAAUGGGGAUAUUUUGUAAGAAUAAUAUCAAAAGUAACAAAUCUUGGUUGCUUUGAUCGAAAUCAAUAUGACAUGAAUAAUAGGAUUAUGUUUCCCUUGACUUCCUAAAUCCAUAGAUUUAUCAAGCUCCAUCAAACUAUGCCAAUACCUUGUAUCCAAAAUUUGAUAAGAAAUAUAUCACCAACCAUCUUGUGAAUGCUUUGGUGAAUUUGACCCAUUACCUUUUGUGUCUCAGAGUGUCGUCUUACUAACCCUUAUCUUAGAUCCCAAAUUAGCUUGAGUGUCAAGUUAAUUAGAUGAGGGUUGGUAGCCUCAUAUUACUAUCGCGAUCUUCUUUUCCUAAUCUCUACCUCUCUUUUGAAGUAAGUAGUGAAUACAGACAGGUUCUUAAUGUUGGCCGGCAUUAAGAAAACAGUAAAAUCAAAGAUGAUCACUAUGCAUUCAAGAAUAUUAAUCAAGAAUGAUUUUCACUUCCUUUACAUCAAUAUUUCACCAGGGUUCCUACAAUUCUAGUUAGGUGAUUUAGCCACUCAUGUUUGCUAGAACAUCCAUCGAAUUCAUCAAAGAAAGAAUAUGAAUAAUCUUACAAUAAUUUUAGAACAAAACCUAGAAUUUAAAAUUAAUAAUCAACCGUAAAACCAAGAACAAAGGAUUCCAAGAUCAAAACUCGAAUCUUAGAAUCAAUAUAUUAUUGUGAAUGUAACUAGUGUGUAAACUAACAAAAAGUCAAAUCUUAGAUUCUCAAAUGUUUAUCCUCUGAAACCUAUAGAGGCACCUAUGACUAUCACAGGUACCACUUACGAGAAGUAAGUAACCCCGUAAGUGGUCCUUCUACACUUUUUCAUCAUCUCCUCUUCUCUUCAUCUCUAAAAACUUAAUUUUCUGCAAUAAAAAAAAACAAAAAUACAUCAUAUCUAACAAAAAGAACCUAAUUGCUUGCAUAUUUGUUUGGUUUCAAGUAUUUUAAGUGCCCUGAAAUCAUGGCACAUCAUUGACAGGGGACAUGCAAAUAUUCAAAGUUGAGGGUGUUGAUGUUCCAAGGUUUCAUGGAUCUUUCAAUGCUUAAAACAAGGAAAUUAUGCAAGUACUUAGAUAUUCUUGUUAGAUGUGAUGUGAUUUUGAGUUGAUUUUGUAGAUAAAUAAAAUUCGAAUCCAAGAAAGAGAUAAAGUUAUGAAGAGUAGCAGAGAAGGCUACCUACGAGCCAACCUAUGGCUCAUAGGUAGAACCUACGAGCCCAUAGGUACAUGUUCUGAAGAUUCUGUAUGUUGAUGAUGUACUCUGAUUCCUAUGCCCUCUUCCUACAAAGUGUAGGUAAUACGUAUAAACCGUAUAUUGCCUUAUAGGUAGGUGUUCAAUAGCUGAAGAUUUCUCUGAUUUCCACAAGCCUACUUAGGCCUGAUAGGUACAACCUACGACCCGUAGGAUGCCUCAUGGGAUAUUACCGACACAAGUUUCAUACAUUGUUUUAGAUAGGUUUUAUUUUGUAUCCAUAAAUACCCCUAGAGGGUUUUAUGAAUAUUUGGACUCUUUUACAAUAAUUUAUGCAGUUUAUACAUAUUCUAUAUUGUUUGAGUUUUGAGAUACACUAUUGAUCUUGGAAUUAUUGUUCUUAGUUUUUAGGGUUUAUAAUUAAUUUGAGAUUUUGGAUUUUCAUUCU
rnacentral:lncRNA from 1 species